UUUGAUCGGUCGGUCGUCAGACUUGUGUGCAGUGGUCGGGUUGACGAUUUUUUUAAUCGUUCGCGUAAGGUUAUCAACGUAGAAUUAUAAAUUGUAAAGAAUUCUGCAACGUUUUGCUUUCCGGAUUUGCAGUAUUAUUCACAGGAUUAUGGAUAUACUUCCGAAUGAGUACCAUACUAGAAUUAAGUACAGUCCAUUCAAGUGCCGUAUUUUACAUGUUAAUUGCUACAGGGACUAUCACGGUCAUUGCUGGAUUUUUAGCUUGUUGCUUUACAGCUAAAGGUCAUUUAGGAUUUCUAUAUGCAUAUGGAUUUUUCAUACUU